CUAUAAACCCGGGUCACUUUCUGCUGAACACCUUCGUAUUGGCUAUUUGGACGAAAUAGCGUAUGAUUGUAUGGUGGAGGAAGCAGAACUAAAAAGAGUCCGGAAGUGGAGAGAAAAUUUCGUGAGAAAAGUUCGUGAAAAAGGGUUAGUUGCUGGAAAUAUGUAGACAGCCAAUAAACAUGAGAUGAAAGCCGAGACAGACUCUAAAAACCAGUCCCCUGCUACUAAUAAUGUUGUGGCUGUUAAAAAGCUUAAUCCAUCAGGUCUUCAAGGUGAGAAGGAGAUUUUAGUGGAGAUUCUCACGCUUUCUCUUCUGCAGCUCUGCGCCACCCACGUCUUGUUCAGAUGAUUGGCUACGGUGCUGAAGGCGGUCAGCGACUUCUUGUACUUGAAUACAUGGCUAUGGGAUCCCUCGAAGCUCAUCUCCAUGGUGUUGCAGCAGCUACCACUAGUGAUUUUAUCACUUGAUGCAUAUAUGGAAAAUGGUUUGCAUAGCAUUCCUCAUUUAAAGACAGUGACUCAGCUUCUCACAAAAUUGGAAAGCUCCCAGCUCAAGUCAUCCUCUCAACUUAAUCCUUCUGAACAGGUAAGUCUCUCUGAUUCCCUUUCCCCUUGCCCCUUGGUAACCAGUUAACCACUGGUCUUGUAUCAUGCUUUAGAGUUGCUUCAUUGGUUUGAAAUUAUGCUGCUGGGUUUGGCUUCGAUAUCCACACAUGCCUUUGUCUAAUGAAUUGGAUUUCGGUUUUUCUCAAAGAUUUGUGUAUCAGCCUGUAAACUUCUAGAGCAUUGAUGCCAUUUCUUUCAGAAAGUUUGAAGACCUAGGUGGAGAAAGCAAAUGAACGCACUCCUGGUUUUAUAUUGGGUGUUUUUAUUUUUGUAAGCCUAUUAGCUCACCUGGUUGAGCACCGUGCAACUUGUGCGGAGAUGUAGAUUCGAAUCCUGCAUAGGCUAUUGGUUUUAUUAUGAAAAAUAAAUCGGCAUUUAGGAUAGCUUUUACCAAUUUUGGCGCAUGUGACUUUAUAUUGUUAGUCAUUUCUCAAUAUAUCGAACCAAAACGCAACUCAAUAGUAUGAAGGCUACAUGGGACUUGAACCCACACCAUGUACAUAAAUGAACAUUGCUUUACUAUUUGAGCUAAUAGCCAUAGUGUUCAAAUAUUUGCAUAUUGGGUAUAACUUUGACUCGAAAACUAUAAAUGUUAAUAUGAUAACUAUAACUUUUACAGGGUAUAUUGAUAUUCCUAAUUUUCCACUUGAAAUGAAACCUCAUAAGUUAGACUUUUUGAGUAAAAAUAAAAUAAAAGUUAGUUUUUUUGCAUUAAAAGUUGGCCUACAUAUAGUUACAUAAACUGAUAUAAGAUUUUUCCUAACUUCUACCACAUCAGAGCUAACUUUUACAUUGAUAUUCUUAAUUUUUACGGAGUAUAUUGAUAUUCAUUUCUUUUCAUUUAAAUGAAACCUCAAAAGUUAAAGUUAGCCUUUUUUAGUAAGAAAAAAGAAGUAAGUGUUAGCUUUUUUGCAUUAAAAGUUAGCGUUCUUGUAUUAAAAGUUGGGUAAAAAUGAUAUAAGAUUUUUACUAACUUUUACUAUAACAGAGCUUCACUAUUGCAUAAGAUAGGAAGGGCCUCCUAUAGAUUUUGUAUUAAGACCGUUUUUCCAGCUUUGGAGACUAACUUUGAAAACCAAUUAUUCAUGGUACUCCUAACUAGUUCGCUGGUGUUUUAUGUUAUUAUUGAGCAUUUUGUAAAAUACAAUUAAGACCGGAAAUUUAUCAUCUGUAUUGAGAUAUUGGAAAAAUCAUUUAAAAUACAUGUUCUUAAUAUAGCACAAGCUGUUGAAUUAGCCUUAUAAAAUAAUAAUACUGUCGUCCGCCAAGAAUAAAAGUGAAAUAUUAGGGCUCAUUUGGCUAUAAUUUUGACGCCAAUACCACUGUUAUUUUCUUGUGAAUGCAAUAAAAUUUUUCGAGGCAACACUUUCGUACACUAGUAGAAAAAAUGACAUUUGCAGCAACCCAUUUGCAACUCAUGUGAUUCCUGAUUGCUACGAAAAGCCUAUGGUCAACGCGGGUCAACUGUUUAAUGAUCUUUUAACAACUUAUGCGGGCUCAAAACGCUGCGAAUUAAUGAAAAAAAAAUUCAUAAAGGUAACUGCAGCGUGGGGGGUCUGUGGUGGUUGCGAAUAAGUUAUACUUGCAGCUUAGUCUCGAAGUGGGCGCUCUGUGACUUUUCUUUUCAUCACUCUGGCUAUCUGACUUUCUCCGCUCGCCCAUUCACAAUUUCACAGUCCCUCAAACCCUAGCAUCCUCUCUCUCUCUCUCUUUCUUCUUCAGAUCUAACAUGGCUAAGGUUGGAAUUCCGCCAUUUUCACCGUUGUUCGAAGGAAUGUCGGCGUUAUCAUAUGAUAUUGAGCGAAUUUGGUGCCGAUUCGAAUUUGGUGCCGAUUUACGCUCUCACCAAGAAUUCAGAGUAGGAGAAGCAAAGCCACACGAGUUGAACCAUGAUUCUUCCAGUUUCUUGCAUAGUAGGCAAGGUAAUAAUUGGAAACUAGCGUGACACUGAAGGGUACUACUUAUUCUUUUACCUUCGCCUUGUCGAUUGCGUUAGGUAGCAGGGAACGUGAGGAGUUCUUGAGGCAUGUCAAUAAAGAGGUAUGCCCUGUAGAGUAGGCAGAUAUUUUGGAUAAAUGAUAACUUUAACAAAAAGAUCUCUUUCCUGUGAUUCUUAUCAUAAAGAUAGAUAUAUAUAAUACCAUGGUUGAGAAGGAGGGUACAGAUGGUGAAGCAGAUUCUCUGAAGGCCUAUAAGGCUGCUCGAGAAGAAAGUGAUCAAGCUGCUGAAGUGGAUGUUGGGGACGAGGUCUCAUCAGCGC